rnacentral:rRNA from 1 species
UACGUAGGGUGCGAGCGUUAAUCGGAAUUACUGGGCGUAAAGUGUGCGCAGGUGGCCGCGCAAGUCGAGUGUGAAAUCCCCGGGCUUAACCUGGGAACUGCGCCUGAUACUGGAAGGCUUAAGGAUGGGAGAGGGAUGUAGAAUUCCCGGUGUAGCGGUGGAAUGCGUAGAGAUCGGGAAGAAUACCCGUGGCGAAGGCGGCCAGCUGGGCCAGGUCCGACACUGAGGCGCGAAAGCGUGGGGAGCAAACGGG